AAGCCUGAUGGCAGCCAUGCCGCGUGUAUGAAGAAGGCCUUCGGGUUGUAAAGUACUUUCAGCAGUGAGGAAGGUGGAUAUGUUAAUAGCAUAUUCAUUUGACGUUAGCUGCAGAAGAAGCACCGGCUAACUCCGUGCCAGCAGCCGCGGUAAUACGGAGGGUGCGAGCGUUAAUCGGAAUUACUGGGCGUAAAAGCGCAUGCAGGUGGUUUGUUAAGUCAGAUGUGAAAGCCCGGGGCUCAAACCUCGGAAUUGCAUUUUGAAAACUGGCAAACUAGAGUACUGUAGAGGGGGUAGGAAUUUCAGGUGUAGCGGUGAAAUAGCGUAGAGAUCUGAAGGAAUACCGGUGGCGAAGGCGGCCCCCUGGACCAGAUAACUGACACUCAGAUGCGAAAGCGUGGGGAGCAAACAGGAUUAGAUACCCUGGUAG
rnacentral:rRNA from 1 species